CCCAAAGCAAAGGAAAAGGGGGGAAACCCUUAGAAAUCUGAUAUGGACAAAAAUUGAAGAAGAUAAUCAAGAAUUUACUUGUGCAUGAGCCUGAAUUGAGACAAUCUAAGCUUUCCUUUCAAGUGGAGUGAAGGAAGAAGGUACGAGCCAAUCCGGAUCGGAAGUGUCACAAAGUAAAGGUAAAUCCCACCCUUGAUGAUGCGAGCUCGGACCGAACACACUACAUCGCCCUCUAUGCGCUUCCGGUUAAAGUCGUCUUUUGUAAAUGGGUCAAAACACUUUCAUAAUGAGUGGAGGAAGAAGGUACGAGCCAAUCCGGAUCGCAAGUGUCGCAAAGUAAAGGUAAAUCCCACUCUUGAUGAUGCGAGCUUGGACCGAACACACUACAUCGCCCUCUAUGCGCUUCCGGUUAAAGUCGUCUUUUGUAAAUGGGUCAAAACACUUUCAUAAUGUAAUUGUUUCAACUUUUACGUCUUUUGAAACAUGUCUUUGAAUUAGUAUUGAAGGAUGAUUGUUAAAAAAAAAAAAACCAGGGAAUUGCUUAUAGUACGAACGGGU